GGCUGGGUGGCUCAGUCAGUUGAGCGUCCCACUUCAGCUCGGGUCAUGAUCUCGUGGUCUGUGGGUUCGAGCCCCACCUCGGGCU
rnacentral:tRNA from 1 species